rnacentral:snRNA from 1 species
GUCCCAAGGCUCGCUUCGGCGGGUCGAUC